rnacentral:rRNA from 1 species
CGUUGUUUGACGUUAGCGACAGAAGAAGCACCGGCUAACUCCGUGCCAGCAGCCGCGGUAAUACGGAGGUGCGAGCGUUAAUCGGAAUUACUGGGCGUAAAGCGCAUGCAGGUGGUUUGUUAAGUCAGAUGUGAAAGACCCGGGCGUCAACCUACGGAAUUGCAUUUGAAACUAGGCAGACUAGAGUACUGUAGAGGGGGGUAGGAAUUUCAGGUGUAGCGGUGAAAAUGCGUAGAGAUCUGAAGGAAUACCGGUGGCGAAGGCGGCCCCCUGGACAGAUACUGACACUCAGAUGCGAAAGCGUGGGGAGCAAACAGGAUUAGAUACCCUGGUAG